rnacentral:rRNA from 1 species
GGGCGUAAGGGCUCGCAGGCGGUUUCUUAAGUCUGAUGUGAAAGCCCCCGGCUCAACCGGGGAGGGUCAUUGGAAACUGGGAAACUUGAGUGCAGAAGAGGAGAGUGGAAUUCCACGUGUAGCGGUGAAAUGCGUAGAGAUGUGGAGGAACACCAGUGGCGAAGGCGACUCUCUGGUCUGUAACUGACGCUGAGGAGCGAAAGCGUGGGGAGCGAACAGGAUUAGAUACCCUGGUAGUCCACGCCGUAAACGAUGAGUGCUAAGUGUUAGGGGGUUUCCGCCCCUUAGUGCUGCAGCUAACGCAUUAAGCACUCCGCCUGGGGAGUACGGUCGCAAGACUGAAACUCAAAGGAAUUGACGGGGGCCCGCACAAGCGGUGGAGCAUGUGGUUUAAUUCGAAGCAACGCGAAGAACCUUACCAGGUCUUGACAUCCUCUGACAACCCUAGAGAUAGGGCUUUCCCUUCGGGGACAGAGUGACAGGUGGUGCAUGGUUGUCGUCAGCUCGUGUCGUGAGAUGUUGGGUUAAGUCCCGCAACGAGCGCAACCCUUGAUCUUAGUUGCCAGCAUUCAGUUGGGCACUCUAAGGUGACUGCCGGUGACAAACCGGAGGAAGGUGGGGAUGACGUCAAAUCAUCAUGCCCCUUAUGACCUGGGCUACACACGUGCUACAAUGGACAGAACAAAGGGC